CCUACGGGCGGCAGCAGUGAGGAAUAUUGGUCAAUGGACGAGAGUCUGAACCAGCCAAGUAGCGUGAAGGAUGACUGCCCUAUGGGUUGUAAACUUCUUUUAUAUGGGAAUAAAACGUUCCACGUGUGGGAUUUUGUAUGUACCAUAUGAAUAAGGAUCGGCUAACUCCGUGCCAGCAGCCGCGGUAAUACGGAGGAUCCGAGCGUUAUCCGGAUUUAUUGGGUGUAAAGGGAGCGUAGGUGGAUUGUUAAGUCAGUUGUGAAAGUUUGCGGCUCAACCGUAAAAUUGCAGUUGAAACUGGCAGUCUUGAGUACAGUAGAGGUGGGCGGAAUUCGUGGUGUAGCGGUGAAAUGCUUAGAUAUCACGAAGAACUCCGAUGGCGAAGGCAGUUCACUGGACUGCAACUGACACUGAGGCUCGAAAGUGUGGGUAUCAAACAGGAUUAGAUACCCUUGUAGUC
rnacentral:rRNA from 1 species